ACUACUUCAUAACCUAUAAGGAUAAAAAUAAGUAACUUCUAAUAACCAUAAUAAAACUGCUAAACAGAUAACUUCUAAUAACUGAAAGCUCCAGGAAUUAUCUUCUCCUAAAUUUCUUUGCUUCUUCUGGAAGAUACGUGGCUUAUCAGUACACCCCUCCUGGAAGGACGACUUGUCCUCAAGGCGAAGUUCGAGAAAUUGUGCCCAUAUCAAUAGAAAACAUGUCAUUUUUGCUGUUAUCUUUCACAAUCUGUGUGUCGUGCUCUUCUUGCAUCAACUACAGAUGAGCAAAAAGUCCCAGCUUUGCAGUGAUGACCAGGGCUAAACUUUUCUCCACAACGAUAGCAAAGGCUUUUGUCUCGCCGAAUUUGUUGUUCAGGAGUCAACGGGUGAGUGUUUAGAAGUGAUGGUGGUUGAAAAGGACAUGUAACUGAUUGGCGGGAUGAAAAAAAAUCGAAGGAUUCUCGUGCCGCUAAGAUGAUGUCCCAACUGAAGAAGGUCGUGAUACAGAAGGCAAAGUGGGUGCCUUACUAAACCGAUUAGGC
rnacentral:lncRNA from 1 species